rnacentral:rRNA from 1 species
AACGAACGCUGGCGGCAGGCCUAAAACAUGCAAGUCGAGCGGGCAUAGCAAUAUGUCAGCGGCGGACGGGUGAAUAACACGUGGGAACAUGCCCUUUGGUACGGAACAACUCAGGGAAACUUGAGCUAAUACCGUAUGUGCCGGUAACGGGAAAGAUUUAUCGCCAAAGGAUUGGCCCGCGUCCGAUUAGCUAGUUGGUGAGGUAACGGCUCACCAAGGCGACGAUCGGUAGCUGGUUUGAGAGAACGAUCAGCCACACUGGGACUGAGACACGGCCCAGACUCCUACGGGAGGCAGCACUUGGGAAUCUUGGACAAUGGGGAAACCCUGAUCCAGCCAUGCCGCGUGAGCGAUGAAGGCCU